rnacentral:rRNA from 1 species
GAAUUCAACUCCUACGGGAGGCAGCAGUGGGGAAUUUUGCACAAUGGGGGAAACCCUGAUGCAGCGACGCCGCGUGAUUUAGAAGGCCUUCGGGUUGUAAAAAUCUUUUGUAUGGGAAGAAAAUGACAGUACCAUACGAAUAAGGACCGGCUAAUUACGUGCCAGCAGCCGCGGUAAUACGUAAGGUCCGAGCGUUGUCCGGAAUCAUUGGGCGUAAAGGGUACGUAGGCGGAUAAGCAAGUUAGAAGUUAAAUCCUAUAGCUCAACUAUAGCAAGCUUUUAAAACUGCUCAUCUUGAGGUAUGGAAGGGAAAGUGGAAUUCCUAGUGUAGCGGUGAAAUGCGCAGAUAUUAGGAGGAAUACCGGUGGCGAAGGCGACUUUCUGGCCAUAAACUGACGCUGAGGUACGAAAGCGUGGGUAGCAAACAGGAUUAGAAACCCUAGUAGUCCAGGCGUU